rnacentral:rRNA from 1 species
UCAAUUGGCCCAUGAUUGGGGUCUAGCAUGAAUGAAAGCAUGGGCGGUAACUGUCUAAAUGUAUUUAUAUUAACUUAAUAAAUAAGUGCAAAUGCUUAUAUUUAUAUAAAAGACGAGAAGACCCUAGAAGCUUAAUUUUAUUUUGUUGGGGCGACAGGAUUACAUUUAACUUAUUUUAUUUAACAUGACAUUUUAAAGUAAGAGUAAGCUACUCUAGGGAUAACAGCAUAAUUUAAAUAGUUUGUGACCUCGAUGUUG